rnacentral:rRNA from 1 species
AGCGAACGCUGGCGGCAGGCUUAACACAUGCAAGUCGAGCGGGCACUUUCGGGUGUCAGCGGCGGACGGGUGAGUAACGCGUGGGAACGUGCCCUCUGGUUCGGAAUAGCUCAGGGAAACUUGAGCUAAUACCGGAUACGCCCUUUUGGGGAAAGGCUUGCUGCCGGAGGAUCGGCCCGCGUCUGAUUAGCUAGUUGGUGAGGUAACGGCUCACCAAGGUGACGAUCAGUAGCUGGUCUGAGAGGAUGAUCAGCCACACUGGGACUGAGACACGGCCCAGACUCCUACGGGAGGCAGCAGUGGGGAAUAUUGGACAAUGGGCGCAAGCCUGAUCCAGCCAUGCCGCGUGAGUGAUGAAGGCCUUAGGGUUGUAAAGCUCUUUUAUCCGGGACGAUAAUGACGGUACCGGAGGAAUAAGCCCCGGCUAACUUCGUG